rnacentral:rRNA from 1 species
CCGGGGGAAGUAUGGUUGCAAAGCUGAAACUUAAAGGAAUUGACGGAAGGGCACCACCAGGAGUGGAGCAUGCGGCUUAAUUUGACUCAACACGGGAAAGCUCACCCGUCCCGAACACUGUCAGGAUUGACAGAUUGAGAGCUCUUUCUUGAUUCAGUGGGUAGUGGUGCAUGGCCGUUCUUAGUUGGUGGAGCGAUUUGUCUGGCCAAUCCCGAUAACGAACGAGACUCUGGCCUACUAAAUAGUGACGGCUCAAUUUGCUUGCCGAGCACUUCUUAGAGGGACAAGCGGCGGUACAAAGCCGCACGAGAAAGAGCAAUAACAGGUCUGUGAUGCCCUUAGAUGGACGGGGCUGCACGCGUGCUACACUGAUGGCAUCAACGUGCGUUCAAGCCUGGCUUGAAGAGGUCAGGUAAUCGAAUGAAAUGUCCGUCGUGACUGGGACAGGGAAUUGCAAUUAUUUCCCUCGAACGAGGAAUUCCCAGUAAGCGCGAGUCAUCAGCUUGCGUU